UACGUAGGAUCCAAGCGUUAUCCGGAUUUACUGGGCGUAAAGAGUUGCGUAGGUGGUAUGGUAAGCGAAUAGUGAAAUGACGAGGCUCAACCUUGUGUCCAUUAUUUGAACUGCCAAACUUGAGAGUGAGAGAGGUUACUGGAAUUCCUUGUGUAGGAGUGAAAUCCGUAGAUAUAAGGAGGAACACCGAUGGCGUAGGCAGGUAACUGGCUCAUUUCUGACACUAAGGCACGAAAGCGUGGGGAGCAAACGGG
rnacentral:rRNA from 1 species